rnacentral:rRNA from 1 species
UGGGGGAUUUUGCACAAUGGGCGCAAGCCUGAUGCAGCGACGCCGCGUGAGGGAUGAAGGCCUUCGGGUUGUAAACCUCUUUCGCUGGGUUGAAAGGCCAUGCUUUGGGUGUGGUUGAUUUGAACUGGUAAAGAAGUACCGGCUAACUACGUGCCAGCAGCCGCGGUAAUACGUAGGGUACUAGCGUUGUCCGGAUUUAUUGGGCGUAAAGGGCUUGUAGGUGGUUUGUCGCGUCUGUCGUGAAAUCCUGUGGCUUAACCAUGGGCUUGCGGUGGGUACGGGCAGGCUUGAGUGCGGUAGGGGGGACUGGAAUUCCUGGUGUAGCGGUGGAAUGCGCAGAUAUCAGGAGGAACACCGGUGGCGAAGGCGGGUCUCUGGGCCGUUACUGACACUGAGAAGCGAAAGCGUGGGGAGCGAACAGG